GGACCGUUUUGCCCAAAAGAGGUUAAAAACCAUUUAGGCGAUAUUACCCUUUUUCAGCUGCACCGACAGCUACUGCAAGCACCAAUCUCCCGAACUGCAAACUACAUGAAUUCUCCAACUCCUGAACAGGAAACUCACAAAUACUGGAAACAGCUGAACAGGAAAAGCAUACAAUCAGCUUACACUCCUGGCAAUCAAACUGGAACAGCAUACAAUAAAUCCUCCCCCCAAUAAUGAGACGACACUUCACUUUGAGGGUUAAGCAGGAACUGACUGUACUGGCACAUACAUCCUCUUUU